rnacentral:rRNA from 1 species
UGAAGCCGGAAUUGCUGUAAUGGCAGGUCAGCAUACUGCCGUGAAUACGUUCCCGGGCCCUUGUACACACCGCCCGUCACACCAUGAGAGUUGGGAAUACCCGAAGCCUGUGAGCUAACUUUUAAGAGGCAGCAGUCGAAGGUAGAAUCAAUGAUUGGGGUGAAGUCGUAACAAGGUAAC